AUUGAACGCUGGCGGCAUGCUUUACACAUGCAAGUCGGACGGCAGCACAUAGAUUCUUUCUUCGUUUGUGGCUAGUGGCGUACGGGUGAGUAAUAUAUCGGAACAUACCGAGUAAUGGGGGUUAACUAAUCGAAAGAUUAGCUAAUACCGCAUAUUCUCUGAGGAGGAAAGCAGGGGACCUUCGGGCCUUGCGUUAUUCGAGCGGCCGAUAUCUGAUUAGUUAGUUGGUGGGGUAAAGGCCUACCAUGGCGAAGAACAGUAGCGGGAGGUAGCGGAUGAGGCGGCACAGUGGGACUGAGACACGGACCCGACUCAGACGGGUGGCAGAGGUGGGGAAUUUUGGAAAAUGGGCGUAAGCCGGAUCCAGACAUGCCGCGUGUGUGAAGAAGGUCUUCGGGUUGUAAAGGACUUUUGUCAGGGAAGACAAGGAUGUUGCUAAUAUCGAAAGCUGAUGACGGUACCUGAAGAAUAAGCACCGGCUAACUACGUG
rnacentral:rRNA from 1 species